rnacentral:lncRNA from 1 species
GAGGAGUGUUGGUGUCUGGGGACACAGAGGUUGAUGGGGUCAGAUGGGAGUGACGCAGAAGUUGGGGUGUUACAGCGCCAUAGAGAUGAGAUGGGAAAAGAGGAGAGGGAUAGGGAAAAGGUGAAGGGAUGGGGUCAGUAGGAGCAAAGGAGAGUCCCUCACCUGCAGUUAUGGUUCCUGCUGAGGAAUCGGACACAUGACCUGGACAGACAUAUGGAUGGGCGGAGUGUCACCAGUGCUCAUAGCUCUGCAUGGUCAGAUUUUCUGAAUGCACUGGUACGGGGCAGGGUAUGUAGGCCUUGGAAGAUGCCCACAGAGCCAGCUCUGUCCCCUGAGACACGUGGGCUGACAUGGGGUUUCUGCCAUUCUGAUGAUCAAUUAUCUAAACUAUGAUGAAUUUAGAAAUGCAUGGCAUAAAUGCAACUGUGCACCGUAUGAUACUGCAGCACAACUCUCCUUUCUUUGACCUUGGGGAUAAAGAAAGGACUAGUAUGUUGCUCUGCCUCUAUGGGAUGGGAUGGCAGCGUCCCACUUGCAAGACUCCAUCCUGCAUUUCCCCUCCUGCCACCAUCCAAAGGCUCUUUUUGGUGGUUUUGUUGAAGGUGGAGGCACCCAGAUCCCAAAGCACACCAACAUCUGGCCAUCCCCACACUAUGGCCACAGCAUCGUCUUCUUGCUGCAUAGGAACUCACACGGUGAGAAACCACCCCACACUUGGAAAUCACCUGAGUUUCCAUUCCUUAUUCUCAAAACAUUUUUUGAAUAACCCUUGCAGCAUCCCUUCCCACAAAAGGGAUUGUGCCCAAACCCUGCACCUUUUUUUUCUGAGCCUGGGCACUGCAGUGCCCCAUUUCUGCACCACGGGAUGGAGAGGGAGACCAUUCCAGAGCCCACGUCUCUCUAUGGCAUUUCUUGAUCCAGAAAAUCUAUGUGGUGUUCAGUCCCCCCAUCCCCUGCGUCCGCACAACCCUGGUGUCAUGUCCCACCUGUGACAUGUAGGUCCAAGGGAGUGCUGAGGGGAGAUCUCCUUAGCCAAUUGCUCUCGUUCCUCUGCUGGUACACACACGUGUAUGUCCCACUGCUUCUUGCAGAGAUGUUCAUCAGCAUGGAGUAG